rnacentral:rRNA from 1 species
AUAGCGUAUAUUAAAGUUGUUGCAGUUAAAAAGCUCGUAGUUGAACCUUGGGCCUGGCUGGCCGGUCCGCCUCACCGCGUGCACUGGUCCGGCCGGGCCUUUCCUUCUGGGGAGCCGCAUGCCCUUCACUGGGUGUGUCGGGGAACCAGGACUUUUACUUUGAAAAAAUUAGAGUGUUCAAAGCAGGCCUAUGCUCGAAUACAUUAGCAUGGAAUAAUAGAAUAGGACGUGCGGUUCUAUUUUGUUGGUUUCUAGAGUCGCCGUAAUGAUUAAUAGGGAUAGUUGGGGGCAUUAGUAUUCAGUUGCUAGAGGUGAAAUUCUUGGAUUUACUGAAGACUAACUACUG